AACGAACGCUGGCGGCAGGCCUAACACAUGCAAGUCGAGCGAGGACUUCGGUUCUAGCGGCGGACGGGUGAGUAACGCGUGGGAAUGUGCCCUUCUCUACGGAAUAGCCCUGGGAAACUGGGAGUAAUACCGUAUACGCCCUAUUGGGGAAAGAUUUAUCGGAGAAGGAUCAGCCCGCGUUGGAUUAGGUAGUUGGUGGGGUAAUGGCCUACCAAGCCGACGAUCCAUAGCUGGUUUGUGAGGAUGAUCAGCCGCACUGGGACUAAGACACGGCCCAGACUCCUACGGGAUGCAGCAGUGGGUGAUCUUGGACAAUGGGGGCAACCCUGAUCUAGCUAGGCUGCGUGAGUGAUGAAGUCCUUAGGGUUGUAAAGCGCUUUCAGCUGGGAAGAUAAUGACGGUACCAGCAGAAGAAGCCCCGGCUAACUCCGUG
rnacentral:rRNA from 1 species